CCGGAACCAAAACUCAGCAGUUGAUGUUUCCACUCGGACCCAACCCAUCCAGAGAAGAUCGAUCUGCUGAUCCCGGUGACCAGUUCCCAAUGCUCAUUCUCACAUUUAUUCAAUAAAUCUGUUAAACCUUU